rnacentral:tRNA from 1 species
AUUUAAAUAGUUUAAAAGAAAAUUUUAAUUUGUGGAAUUAAGGAUGUAAGAAUUUACUUUAAAUA